AAAUUGAAGAGUUUGAUCAUGGCUCAGAUUGAACGCUGGCGGCAGGCCUAACACAUGCAAGUCGAGCGGUAGCACAGAGAGCUUGCUCUCGGGUGACGAGCGGCGGACGGGUGAGUAAUGUCUGGGAAACUGCCUGAUGGAGGGGGAUAACUACUGGAAACGGUAGCUAAUACCGCAUAACGUCGCAAGACCAAAGUGGGGGACCUUCGGGCCUCAUGCCAUCAGAUGUGCCCAGAUGGGAUUAGCUAGUAGGUGGGGUAACGGCUCACCUAGGCGACGAUCCCUAGCUGGUCUGAGAGGAUGACCAGCCACACUGGAACUGAGACACGGUCCAGACUCCUACGGGAGGCAGCAGUGGGGAAUAUUGCACAAUGGGCGCAAGCCUGAUGCAGCCAUGCCGCGUGUGUGAAGAAGGCCUUCGGGUUGUAAAGCACUUUCAGCGGGGAGGAAGGCGUUAAGGUUAAUAACCUUGGCGAUUGACGUUACCCGCAGAAGAAGCACCGGCUAACUCCGUGCCAGCAGCCGCGGUAAUACGGAGGGUGCAAGCGUUAAUCGGAAUUACUGGGCGUAAAGCGCACGCAGGCGGUCUGUCAAGUCGGAUGUGAAAUCCCCGGGCUCAACCUGGGAACUGCAUUCGAAACUGGCAGGCUAGAGUCUUGUAGAGGGGGGUAGAAUUCCAGGUGUAGCGGUGAAAUGCGUAGAGAUCUGGAGGAAUACCGGUGGCGAAGGCGGCCCCCUGGACAAAGACUGACGCUCAGGUGCGAAAGCGUGGGGAGCAAACAGGAUUAGAUACCCUGGUAGUCCACGCCGUAAACGAUGUCGAUUUGGAGGUUGUGCCCUUGAGGCGUGGCUUCCGGAGCUAACGCGUUAAAUCGACCGCCUGGGGAGUACGGCCGCAAGGUUAAAACUCAAAUGAAUUGACGGGGGCCCGCACAAGCGGUGGAGCAUGUGGUUUAAUUCGAUGCAACGCGAAGAACCUUACCUGGUCUUGACAUCCACAGAACUUUCCAGAGAUGGAUUGGUGCCUUCGGGAACUGUGAGACAGGUGCUGCAUGGCUGUCGUCAGCUCGUGUUGUGAAAUGUUGGGUUAAGUCCCGCAACGAGCGCAACCCUUAUCCUUUGUUGCCAGCGGUUAGGCCGGGAACUCAGAGGAGACUGCCAGUGAUAAACUGGAGGAAGGUGGGGAUGACGUCAAGUCAUCAUGGCCCUUACGACCAGGGCUACACACGUGCUACAAUGGCAUAUACAAAGAGAAGCGACCUCGCGAGAGCAAGCGGACCUCAUAAAGUAUGUCGUAGUCCGGAUUGGAGUCUGCAACUCGACUCCAUGAAGUCGGAAUCGCUAGUAAUCGUAGAUCAGAAUGCUACGGUGAAUACGUUCCCGGGCCUUGUACACACCGCCCGUCACACCAUGGGAGUGGGUUGCAAAAGAAGUAGGUAGCUUAACCUUCGGGAGGGCGCUUACCACUUUGUGAUUCAUGACUGGGGUGAAGUCGUAACAAGGUAACCGUAGGGGAACCUGCGGUUGGAUCACCUCCUUA
rnacentral:rRNA from 1 species